rnacentral:rRNA from 1 species
CACGUAGGGUGCGAGCGUUGUCCGGAAUUAUUGGGCGUAAAGAGCUCGUAGGCGGUGUGUCGCGUCGGCCGUGAAAACCUGCAGCUUAACUGUGGGCGUGCGGUCGAUACGGGCAUCACUGGAGUUCGGCAGGGGAGACUGGAAUUCCUGGUGUAGCGGUGAAAUGCGCAGAUAUCAGGAGGAACACCGGUGGCGAAGGCGGGUCUCUGGGCCGAUACUGACGCUGGAGGAACGAAAGCGUGGGGAGCGAACAGG